rnacentral:lncRNA from 1 species
GAGGAUUAAAUAGGAACAUUGUAUAAAGCACUUAAAACAGUACCUGGGACAUACUAAGUAAUAUAAUUGUUAACUCUUACUAGCAUUCUGUCCCUUUUAUUUCCUAAAUAUCUCUCAUGCCCAUCUCCUAAAUAUCUCUUUCCUAAAUAUCUCUCAUGCUUUUGGCUUAAGACCUCUUUUCCUCCUUAUCUAUUGACUGGACUGCGGCAAAUGCCUGCUAAUCGUUAUUUUUGUGUUCAUUCAUUUAGCAAGCCAAUUUAUUACGCGCUUAGGGUGCUGCCAGGGCUACAAAAGCUGUUGAGACUGUACUUGAUAUGAAGAAGCUUGCUGAUUAUCAUGGGAAGACUGACAUAAGGAAGCACCAUAAAAUUCUGCUGUAUGAGAGGUAUACACGGGAUACUGGGGGUUAAUAAUUGAGGGUAUGGUCCAUUCAACAUGAGUGAGACAGAAACAAUUCAUAAAGGAGAUGAAAUGUCUUGAGGAAUGAGCUCUUAGAAGAAUAGUUUUCAAAUGAGUGUGCAUCACAGUCACCUGUAAGACUUAUUAAAACAGAUCGCUGGGCCCUACACCCAGAGGCUGUGGUUCAGUAGGCUGUAGUAAACCAGUAAUUUGUAUUUCUAUGACGUUCCCAGGUUCUAAUGCUGUUCCCCAAGGCCACACCUUGGAAACCACCACAUUAAAAUACCCAGAAGGCAUUAAUUCCCAGUCCUUCCUCUACACAGCUGCAAAACAAUGGUCCUGACCAUUUCAUCUUUGCACUACAUCCUUCACUGUCUCUCUUUUGCCCAUAGGAUAAGUACAAACUAGAUCUGGUUACUGCCUGCCCCACCAGCCUCAGCAUCUCUCACAACUAGGACUAACUUUUUCUUCUGACAACUAUAAAAUAUUUCCCUUGCCUUCUCAAGUUUGCUCAAGGUCAAGUUAUGCCUUUUGCCUGGAAUGACUUGACUUCUCUUUUGUUUUACUUAGCUGGCUGCUUUUCAUCUUGUAGGUUAGGUCAAGGACUCCAGGAAGUCUUCCCUGGACAAGUAAUGAAGAGGGCAUAAUCCAAGGGCCAACUCCCAUGUUUGGAACCUGACUCCAUUUUCAGGCACGUAAUAUUGUCAAAUUCCUUUUAAAAGCACCUGUCUGUCUGUUAACGUUGGUGCAGAUACUGCUAUUCCCCUCCUCCAUACCAUUGCUGAUGGUUACUGAGGGUAUGGGAAGGGCCGACUAGUCCAGCUGUUCACAAACAGCCCUUAAUGUCAAACUGAAUACUGCCAACGUAGUUCCAGUUUCUGUAUCUAAAGACUCAGCUUGGAGUCACUUGUCUGGACUAAAAGUAACCCCUCCUUGUCUGGUUUGUGACUUUCUGUACUCUGAUGCCCCCAGCUUUCUGCCUUCUAGAAAUUUGUCAGAAUUUCCAAAAUUCUUGGGCCUUCCUUCUUGCUCUAUAUAUGGUUUUGGAUUCAUUCCUUUUAAAAAAUAUUUACUGUCAUUUCAGUAGAAUUUUGACACAAUAAAUAUAAGCACAUCAGAUUUUUUGCCAUCUUG